GCCCGUGUCCCAAGGCGCCCGGGCGGUGAGCUUGAGGGGCGAGCCCUGGCGCCCGAGCGGCACACCCACUUUCCUUAUUAGGAUAGACUCGGAGCCGGGCGCAGGCGGCGGGUCCAGGAGGUGGGGCGGGAGCCCCGGGAGGAGACGGCCGGGGGCGCAGACGCGGCCUCAGCCACCUUGGAGCGGCCGGAGCGAGCCGCCAGCAGCGCUUGGCCACUUUGCGGUGACCGUGCUGCGGUCCCCGGGCCGCGAUCUUCCUCCUCAGACUCUGCCCCCAAACUCUGGGCCAAGCCCAUCGCAAAGACAUGGAAGAAUUUCUGCAACGCACCAAGUCUAAGCUGAAUCGAAGCAAACGCUUGGAGAAGGUUCACGUGGUUAUUGGACCUAAAUCAUGUGACUUGGAUGCUCUGAUUUCUGCCUUCACAUAUGCUUACUUUCUAGACAAGGUCAACCCACCUGGGGUUCUCUGUUUACCAGUGCUGAAUAUUCCAAGAACUGAAUUCAACUACUUCACUGAGACCAGGUUUAUUUUAGAAGAACUGAAUAUCUCUGAAUCUUUCCACAUAUUCCGAGAUGAGAUUAAUCUGCACCAGCUAAAUAACGAAGGGAAAUUGUCUAUAACACUCGUUGGGAGCAAUGUCCUAGCAAGUGAGGAUAAACCAUUGGAAUCAGCGGUUGUCAAAGUCAUUAGCCCGGCUGAGCAGAACGGUGCCGAGCUGGGGUUUCCGGAGUCUUCCUCGUCCCUCGUGCUGAAAGAGCUUCUCCGGGAGGCUCCCGAGCUCCUCACUGAGCAGCUGGCUCAUCUCCUCAGAGGCAGCAUCCUCUUCACGUGGAUGACUAUGGAUCCAGAGAAGCUCUCUGAGAAGCAGGAGGAGAUUCUGUCUGUCCUAGAGGAGAAGUUUCCUGACUUACCUCCGAGGGAAGACAUCAUCAGCGUCCUGCAGGAAACCCAGGCCAGUGCUCACGGUUUAAGUACGGAGCAAACACUGCUGAAAGACUUGAAGGAACUGUCAGAUGGGGAAAUAAAAGUGGCCAUUAGUUCUGUGAACAUGAACCUUGAGAACUGUGUGUUUCACAGCAGUAUCACCAGUGAUUUGAAAGCAUUUGCAGAGAAGUUCAGCUAUGAUGCCCUCAUCCUGUUCUCCAGCUACCUGUCGGAGGGUCAGCAGCCUAGACGACAGAUCGCUGUGUACUCUCAGAACCUGGAGCUGUGCAGUCAGAUUUGCUGUGAGCUGGAAGAGUGUCAGAACCCUUGCCUGGAACUGGAGCCCUUUGAAUGUGGCUGUGAUGAGAUCCUGGUGUACCAGCAGGAGGAUCCUUCUGUGACUUGUGAUCAGGUGGUUCUCCUUGUCAAAGAAGUCAUCAAUAGGAGGUGUCCAGAGAUUGCCUCCAACAGCCGGACAUCCUCAACGGAAGCUGUGGCUGGCAGUGCACCCCUCUCCCAAGGCUCUUCUGGGAUUAUGGAAUUGUAUGGCUCUGAUAUAGAGCCAGCACAGCCCAGCUCUGUGAAUUUCAUAGAGAAUCCUCCAGAUCUCAAUGAGUCUAACCAGGCUCCAGCGGAUGUCAACAUGGACCUUGUUAGUCCAGACAGUGGGCUUGCCACCAUUCGGAGCAGCCGGUCAUCCAAGGAGAGCUCUGUUUUCCUCAGCGAUGACAGUCCAGUGGGAGAAGGUGCUGGGCCUCACCACAGCCUCCUUCCAGGCUUUGACUCCUACAGUCCCAUCCCUGAAGGGGCAGUGGCAGAAGAGCACGUUCGGUCUGGAGAACACAGGGAACACUUUGGCCUCUUCAGCUUUGACUCAGCUCCCAUGGCUUCAGGGCAGUCCCAGCCAUCUUCCCAUUCUGCAGACUACUCCCCAGCAGAUGACUUCCCCAACAGCGAUUCGUCAGAUGGACAGCUUCCCCCUGGGCCAAAAGGACUUGAUGAGAUAGGAACCAACAUGUCCAAUUAUUCAUCCAGUUCACUUUUGUCUGAGGCUGGCAAAGACAGCCUGGUGGAAUUUGAUGAAGAGUUUGUUCAGAGACAAGAAAGUCUGGUAGAAAAUGCUGAAGGAAGUUUAAGCCUGAAAAGUUUUGUGGGAGAUGAGUCUCCUUCACCAGAAAGGCUGGACAGUAUUGGAAAGCAAAUUCCACCCACACCUACGAAUAGCUUUGUGGGAAGCUCACCAUCCACUGAAGAUCCAGCCAUGCUCUAUCCAGAGGACAUAAUUCCUGAAGCAACAGACAUGGGUCACCUUGGGCCACCUCAGACCCAGACCCGGUGUAGUAGCUGGUGGGGUGGUUUGGAAAUUGACUCUAAAAAUAUUGUAGAUGCAUGGAGUUCCAGUGAACAAGAAUCCGUUUUUCAGAGCCCUGAAUCAUGGAAAGAUCAUAAGCCCAGCCCCACUGAUAGAAGAGCUUCAGAUUCUGUACUUCAACCAAAGAGUCUUGACUUCCCAAAAUCAGAUCCCUGGGAGUCUGAAUUUGGUCAGUCAGAACUCAAUAGCAACGACAUUCAAGAUGAAAAGGAGGAAAGCUUGCAGUUUCCAAACCUUUCCACUGAGAAGUCACAUUUACCAAAUGCUUCUCCUAAGGGAACAAACCACCUGAUAGAAGACUUUGCUGCUUUGUGGCAGUCUGGUCAGUCUCCCACAGCAAUGCCUGAGCCCUGGGGAAACCCUACAGAGGAUGGGGAACCAGUGGCUGCUGUGUCAUUCCCAGCUUGGAGUGCAUUUCAUAAAGAAGAUGAUGCUGAAGCUUUAAAAAAUACCUGGAACCUUCACCCGACAAGCAGCGAGACACCUUCUGUGAGGAACCCAAAUGAGUGGGUGAUGGCGAGAAGUGGGUAUUCCUUUCCUUCAGAAGACCUAUUGGACAGUUCAGCCAGUAAGGCCAACAAUGAGGCAGCUCCAAAACUCUGGGGCAAGAAGAACAAUGACUCCAAGGAUAAUAUCCUUGUAUCUAGAAACCCCAGUUCCAAACUGGAGCAUGCAUGGAAUAAUUCCCAGCCACCAAGGGAAGAUCAAAACCGCUUGGUGGAUCCUAAAGUGAGGGGGAAGGUAUAUGAACAGGUAGAUUCCUGGAACUUUUUUGAGGACACUGUUAAGAAAGGAGGGUCAGACGUCCUAGCUCCUUGGGAGGAUUCCUUCCUAGCGUACAAAUGUUCUGAUUAUAGCGCAUCUAAUGUAGGAGAAGAUUCAGUGCCUUCCCCCUUAGAUACCAACUACUCCACCUCUGACUCUUACACAUCACCAACAUUUGCUGGGGAGGAAAAAGAAACAGAAAGCAAGCCACUUACUCAAGAGGAAGUUGGUGAGUCCAAAGAUACUGGCUCGACUGUAGAGGAGGCUUCAGUUCCUCUGCAGUCUUCGCCGCAGCUUCUUAGAAACAGAAUUGGUUCAGGUCCUGGGAACCUAGACAUGUGGGCUUCCCCUCUUCCCGAAGCAAGCAGAGCUCACGACCCAGAUAAAGAUGCUCUCCAGGCAGAGAACACCUCCACGGAGGACGGUGUCGGGGAGAGUAGCCAGUCCAGCUACGAUGAUCCCAGCAUGAUGCAGCUGUACAACGAGACCAAUCGGCAGCUCACACUUCUGCACAGCAGCACCAACUCCCGGCAGGCAGCCUCGGACAGCCUCGACUUGUGGAACAGAGUGAUUCUGGAGGACACGCAGUCCACUGCCACAAUUUCAGAUAUGGAUAACGACUUGGACUGGGAUGACUGCAGUGGGGGAGUGGCGAUGACCAGUGAUGGCCACGCAGAAGGAUACGUGACUGAGAGUACUGAACCCGAAACCCGAUUUUCAGUGAGACACCUGGAACCAUGGGGCACGGAGUACCAGGAAGAAAAUCAGAUAGAUUGGGAGCUCACUGCCUCCGCUGAGCACGCCAAGGAUGCUGCUCCCAACGAGUAUCACACACUGAAUGAGAAAAAUGGGCAGCUAAUUGCAAACAGCGUUUGGGAUUCUGUCAUGAGAGAUAAAGAUGCAUCAUCAUGCAGGUUACCAGGCCUCCCAUAUAUGACAGAUUCAGAAGCAAUCGACUUACCUUCUGAAGGUACCAGCCAUUCAGCAAAUGCUAUGGAGAGCUGCAUGGCAGAUGGGUUAGAAGCCUCUGGAAUCAGUGAGUCAGCAGCAUGCACACCUCACCCUGAUGACGAGGACACAUGGACAGGAAUGCUGCCAGCUAAUACAGCACCCUUGGUGACCAGGCCUGAGAACCCAGAACAUUCUGCAUGUUCAGAUCCAUGGAUGGGGCAUAGCUACAGAAAUAGCGAAAGUGAACACGAAGCCCUGGGAGCCUCAAGCAGAAGGUGUCUUGACAAGGAGGAGGUGAUAGGUUCUGGGGACAAGAGUGCCCCAGGGACUCCUGGAAAAGAGACUGGUGACCAGGAACUCUCUUCUCCAGCUGCAGCUGAAUAUCAAGAAAUCUACACUGAAUUAGGCAAAGUCACAUCUCUUCCAGCUACUUGUGGUCCUGAAACAAGUGAACCAAAGAAUGUUUUAGGGCUUGAGGGGCCUUAUGACCUAGGUUACACAAACAGAGAUGAUUCACCAACAGAGAUGUCUACAAAUGAGCUUCAGGCAAAGGAGACCUACGAAGAGCCCCUCAUGGAUCACAGAGAUUCAGGGGAAACUAUGGAGGUGCCAGGUAAGAUGAAUUUAACAAAAAAUGUAUCUUCAUCUGAGAUGGAUCUUGAGGAAAUAGAAGAAUGUAACAUUCCAGAGUCAGAAAGAAUGAGUGAAGAGCCACCUCGUGAGUCUCCUCAAAGCCUUGUUUUGGAAAGCCUUGUUUGGAAAGACUCUGCAGACAGUGGAAUACAGGACAAUUACACAAGUUCUGAGAUAACUAAGACUCUUGAAGUGAAAAGUACUGAAAAUAGCCUUCCAGCAGCCAGUUCCUCUGGGAGCUAUGGCAAAGACAGUCUUUCCAGUGAUGACUACACACACUCAAGUGCCUCGAGUCCUGAUCUAGAUGAUUCUUCAGCUGCAUUGUCCUCCUGGGGUCAGAGACCCAGUAUUGAGCAUCAGAAAGAGAAUCAAGAUGAAUGGAGAGAACAGAAUCACCAACAACCUGAAGUAACAACCCCUGAUGACCACGUAGGAGUAACUACUGAAAUGAAGACAUUAGAGAAAAACAGGAUGGAUGAGUUUGAAAAGAAUAUUGAACAAAAACUUCCUAAAUUUUUAGAGAUUUGGAAUGAUUCCAUCGAUGGUGAUUCUUUAUCCUCCUUAUCAAGCCCUGAAACAGGCAAAUAUUUUGACUACACAGGUGCAUACCAGGAUAGAAAUCUAGCAGUUAGUCACGAGGAGAACAAUAAAACCAUUGUUCCUGCAACUGGGCAGCCGGAGGAUGCCAAGGUCAUUUCAACAAAUUUGGGCUCAGAUGAUAACAGUGCAGGAAAUGAAGAGUCAGUAGAGAAAGAGACCCAUCUGGUCCCUUGUCAAGUGACUCAGAGUAAAUCCAGAGCUUCGGAUGAAUUGAGUGAGUCUAAAUUCUUGGCCAUGGCAGAACCCAACACUGAGGAGUUUUCUGAUUAUGUAGAUGAUACGGACCUAGCCGAGAAUGAGAAUAAGUCACACACCCUGUGUGACAGUCAAAGCAGCUCUGAGCACUGGAAUUUCUCACCGCUCACAGAGACUGAAAUUCAGAUCACAGCAGAGGACAAGGAGACACCACCUUCUCCAGAAGCGGGGAAGGCGAGAGAUGAAAUAUGGCAGGUAUCUCCCAAAACUGAGCCAAAGAAUGAAGCUCAUUCUAAACUGGAAAUUCUUGGCUUCUCAGCUGAGAGCAGUGAGUGGUGGGAAGCUCCUCUGCAGGAAGGGAGGCCCAUGGAGAGUGCAUUUCAGGGGGUACUGUCUAACUCAAGUGAUGCUUUGGCGGGGAUUUCUUCAGUGUAUCAAAGUGUGGGUCCAUGGGGAGUACCCGCUCAGGGUGAUGCUGAGUCCAUGCAAACACACUGCACUGAUCCUUUCAGUGACGAACUCCGGCCACCCUUUCUGGGCAGUAAUGAGGGCAACUCCCAUGGGCAACUUUGGAACAUCCAACCAAGGCAGCCAGAUCCAGACACUGACCAGUUUACCCAGCUUGUAAUACUAAACCAAAUUAAAGAAAAAGACCCCAGAGAGCAAACUUUUAUGUCUUUAGCUGGUCAUGAGCUUCCUUUUGAGACACCCACUCAAGAGCAGUGUCAGGAUAACAUGCUGUCUGUCUGGGCUCGACCGGAUCCAGCGGUUACUCCCUCAGAUGAAACGGGAUACGUCACAGCUAAUGUCUCAGCUGAGUGUCAGGAAGUGAACUGGUGGGAACCAGAAAAAUCAUACCUUACUGAAACAACACAUUCAAGCACUCCCACCGAAAAUUUACCCACCAUCCAUUCUCCCAGCCAACUGAUAAGGAAGUCAGUCUCUGCAUGGGAUGGCUCCAACCCUAAUGAGGACACCCAAGACGCCUUCACCCCCGAUAUUUUACAUGGCAACUUCCAAGAGGGCGGGCAGCUGCCCUCAGCCUCCCCUGACUUGUGGGUGGAUGUGAAGCAGCCCUUCAGUCUGAAGGCAGAGGGCGAGAAUCCAGACAUACUCACUCACUGUGACCAUGACAGCAUUUCUCAGGCUUCCAGCAGCCCCGAUGUAUGUCAUGAUUCUGAAGCAAAGCAAGAGGCUGAGCAACACAGCAAUGCUCGAGUCAGACCUGCAGUGGAAUCCAGUGAGUUUUAUCUCACUGAGUCAGAGAUAAGUGAAGACCUGACUCAGGACCCUGGACAGGAAUCUGUCCUAUACGAUUCAGGACUCUCUGCUGGAAACGUAAUUCCACUGCCUCUAGGUACUAAUCAGUCGAACAUAAAUGGCUCAUCUCAGCCUGCAUCUUCUAUAGAUUCUCCCGAGCAUUCUGAAAUGAACGAUGAAAACCAUGCAAGUUUAGAAGCAUCAAAGGAAGAGCCCAUAACAGAUACAGCACCAGUUCUGGAACCCACUGACAGGACCAUCCAAAGAGUUGAAAAUGUGGAAACUCGUAUUUUGGUCACUCACCAGGAGCCAACUACAGAAGGAAACUGCUCCUGGGUACCAGAGGACGUUUCUCCUGAAAGUUAUACAGGCUCAAGGGCUUUGCUUCACGGUGAGACGCCCUUUGCUCCCGAGACUCCCACCACUGCUGUGGCUGAUACCUGUUUGGAUGUAAGCGAAGCUGCCUUGGACCAUAGUUUCAGUGACACUUCAGGUCUUAACACUUCCACAGGUACCAUAGAAGAUGUAAGUAAACUGACACUGUCAGAAGGCCAACCUGAAACACCAGUUGAUGGAGAUGCUGGGAAACAAGAUAUCUGUUCAUCUGAAGCCUCAUGGGGGGAAUUUGAGUAUGACGUCAUGGGCCAGAACAUUGAUGAAGAGGUAAUGAAAGAGCCUGGGCAUUUCUUCUACAGUGCUGACCCUCCCUUAGAAGGCAAUGGUCAGAAGCAAUCAGUGGCACCCUACACACCUCCCUUUGACCUGUCCUGUUUCACAGAGGCACGCCCUGGUGCCCAGACAACAGAGGAAGCUGGGUCCCCAGAGGAUUUAUCUCUGGGAAGUGAAGCAGCAGAGAUGUUGCUUUCUGCUCUUCCUGAUCAAAGUGAGGGAAACCACAUGGAGACCGAAAGCAGACAGCCUGCACACCAGCUGGUUGCACUGCAUAUUCAUGAAGACCCGGUUUCUUUGGCUGCAGGAGAAGCCAGCUCCAACUUUGAGUCAUCUCCAUCAAACAUUGACUGGGAAGUGGACUCAGAUGCUUCUGACUCACCAGCAGGUGGAGACACGAGACCACCAAAUGGUGCCAACAAGAGAAUUUUAGAAUUAGAAGAAGAAAAAAUAACCCCUGCCAAAGAGCUGAAGGAGAUAAAAUCAGAAUAUAAAGAAGAAAGAUGGACAAGAAAGAAUGAAGAUCAUCAUGCAAUACAGAUGGAUUAUAUUCUAGUAGGCCAUGAACAAAAUUCACCCUUGAUGCCAGAGGCCUGUGAAGCAGGAGACAGCGUGCCCCAGUUAGAAGCAACAUCUGUAGGUUCAGAAGAAACAGACCUGCCAGGAACUCAGGUAGUAAGCUACCCAGAUAUGUGUCAGCCUGCCUCUUUAAAUGAAAGCAAAGAUUGCUCUGUAGAGAGAUUCAAAGAUGAUAAGAGAUUAUCUCUUGAAAGUUCUGUCCAAGACCAGAAUUGGAUGGUCUUGAGCUGUGGUGAGGGUAAUCAUCCAUCACCGGAUGCCAAGGAUGCAGGGACUGGAUGGGCUGACAAGACUGUGGAGCCAUUUUCUGAUCCACGCAUGAUCCAAGAUUCCCAGGUGGGAGAAAUGAAGCCUCUAGAGUCUUUAGCACUAGAGCAGGUCUCUGGUCUGAGCAGCCAAUCACAGAAGAUAAACAGCCGAGGCAGGGCUGACCUGGAAACAGUUUUGUUGCCAACUGUCACCCAUGACAAUGAAUGGGAAAUGCUUUCACCACAGCCAUCUCACACAAACAGGAUCUCUGAAAGGGAGAUGGAGGAGGAGACAGAGUUUCUUGAGCCUGGAACCAGGAAAGUAAAACCAAAUGGACUCCUGUCAGAGGAUGUAGGAAUGGACGCCCCCUUUGAGGAGGGAACACUGAGUCCCAGCGCUGCAGACAUGAGGCCUGAACCUCCUAAUUCACUGGACCUCAAUGACAGUCACCCUCGGAGAAUCAAGCUCACAGCCCCAAAUAUCAAUCUUUCUCUGGACCAAAGUGAAGGGUCCAUUCUUUCUGACGAUAACCUGGACAGCCCAGAUGAAAUUGACAUCAACGUGGAUGAGCUUGACACUCCCGACGAAGCGGAUUCUUUUGAGUAUACAGGCCACGAAGAUUCUGUGGUCAACAAAGACUCUGGCCAAGAGUCAGAGUCUAUUCCAGAAUACACGGCUGAAGAAGAGCGUGAAGACAACCGGCUGUGGAGGACGGUGGUGAUUGGGGAGCAGGAGCAGCGGAUUGACAUGAAGGUCAUCGAGCCCUACCGGAGAGUCAUUUCCCAUGGAGGAUACUAUGGGGACGGUCUAAAUGCCAUCAUUGUGUUUGCUGCUUGUUUUCUGCCAGACAGCAGUCGGGCGGAUUACCACUAUGUCAUGGAAAAUCUGUUCCUCUACGUCAUAAGCACAUUAGAGCUGAUGGUAGCCGAGGACUACAUGGUCGUCUACUUGAAUGGUGCAACCCCGAGGCGGAAGAUGCCAGGACUGGGCUGGAUGAAGAAGUGCUACCAGAUGAUUGACAGGCGGUUGCGCAAGAAUUUGAAAUCAUUCAUUAUUGUUCAUCCAUCCUGGUUCAUCAGAACGAUCCUUGCUGUGACACGCCCUUUUAUAAGUUCAAAAUUCAGCAGUAAAAUUAAAUAUGUCAGUACCCUAUCAGAACUCAGUGGGCUGAUCCCGAUGGAUUGCGUCCAUAUUCCAGAGAGCAUCAUCAAGUACGAUGAAGAGAGAUCUUUUAAGAGAAGUGUGAGACUGGAUGAAGAACUGAGAGAAGCUUCAGAAGCAGCUAAGUAAGACUCAGUUUUUAGCAGCUGGCGCGAUGUUGCUUGCAUUUCAGGAGUGAGCGGGGAGAAGCUGCAUGCCUGAACUAGCUGCCUUUACAAUGAUCCAGAAGUGUCUUCUAUGGAGAAGGAUAUGAACCUGCAACUGAAGGAAAACCCCUAGCUGGCUCUGGCUGAGGAGAAGGCUGCUCUUGGCUUUAUGAUUCUGCAGAGAAACACACCUACCUGGAAGAGAUAGGGCUGGCGUCACAUUUUCCCAUUUUGCACUACCUGGUGCCACUCUAAAUUUCCAAGAGGGGAACAGGAAAGGAGUCUGUUUACUUUUAUCAUGAUCUGUGUGAAACUGCAUUAUCCUGUUUUGCCAGUUAUGUGCCUCGGAGCUUUUAGUUGAGCCUUAGCAAGAAAGUAGGACCUUCCAUUUCAAGAUUUAGUGAACCCUCAGUCAGUGGUAUUUGGUCUCUUCGGUAAUGUUUACCACAACAGAAUAUUAACUUUAAACCCCCUGUAAGGAUAAGUAGACUUCUCCUUAGACCGCUAGAUUGCUUCGUGGUGAUAACUUCAAAUUUUGAAUACAAUAGGCUCACACUCUCCUCUCCCCAGCGAGAGUUGCUGCUUGCAAUGCCACCUUUGAAAUCCUAAGCCUGCUUAGCAAGCCAUGAGCCAGAUGUGGGUGUAAAACAUCUUCAGCUAAGUGUAUCGUCACAUGAGUCUUGCACUUCUCAGAGAAGCUAGCCUUCCAUAUAUCAAUUUUACCUGAGCUAUGAUUUUCAAAAAUUGAUCUUUUAAUUUUUUUAAUAUUUUUUAUUUUUAUUUUCCUUUUGUCUGAGACAGGAUCUCACUACACAGUUCAGGCUGGCCUUGAGCUCACUUUAUUGCCCAGGCUCUUUUCAAACUUGCAGUGAUCCUCUUGCUUCAGCCUCCUGAAUGCUAGGAUUACAGGCGUGUGCCAUCAUGCCUGGCUAAAAAUUGAUCUUUUAAAAUACUGUUUUCUCCAACAAAUUGUGAAUGCCUUCAUUUGCAAAAUCUAAGGCUGAAUGUUAGUGGCUGUCUGCACUUUAGGCCACAAACCAGGCUCAAGAAGUUAUACUUUUAAGUGCCAAGCGCUGAAACCUAAAGCAGCCCAUCAGAAAUUAUUUAGGAAUAUUCAGCUAUCCAGAUUCCCCUCACAUGCAUCAUAGAAAGUGAAUUUCUUUAAGACAUUCUAACCUGACCACAGGUUUGUAAUUAAAUGUAUGUGCUACCAUUUACAAAAUAGUUUCUAAUUUUCAUACACCUUUUAAAAUGGCAGUGCAACUUCAGGCUGUUGGCUUUUAGCAGAGAGCUCGGGAAACUUCCAACUCUAGAGCAUCAUCAUAAGCUAACGGUGAUCUUCACACGUUUAUGGUUAAAAAAUAUAAUUUUUCAUAAUACAAGAAAGUUAUUCAAAUUUUAGUAGCCGUACAUAAAGUGGUACUGAAGCACAGCCACAGAAGUUUGUUUUCCUGCUGUCCACAGCUACUUUCACACCACCUCAGGAGAGCUGAGGAGUUGUUACAGACCAUUUGGCCACAAAGCCAAAAACAUUUACUGUCUUAACAGAAAGUUUACCAGCCUCUACCAUACCAAAUACACCAUUUCCCACCCCACCUCCCCCAUUUGUAAUUGACUUGUCCAGCAGAAUGGACAGAUAAGGCUAUAAAAUAAUAUUUUUUCUAGCAAAAAGAAAUUUUCUGUGUCUGCAGACAAUCAGAAUACACGAUCUGCUGGAAAGGAUAGAGUGCAUGGUGUGGAAGCCUUGCACAGGUUGUAACUGCAGCUCUCAAAGUGAGCUCUUCUUAUGAGUCCCCCUGAGCUACUCCUGGCAUCCUGGAGGUCCUUGAGCACCAUCCUUAAUUCCCCGGAAACACCUCUGAUAGUAACCUGGCGGAAGGCCAGGUGAUGUGGAAAAGGGCUCUGCCGUGGUCUCAGGGUAGCAGCUCCACUGGGGACAGCUGUCCAGGAUGCAUUGAGCCUUGGGUACAGGAGCCCUGAGUUGCUUCAAAGUAGACACCUUUGCCUUGAUGACUGAGCUGCUCUGCCCUUCUGUGCUCCGUGUCUGCUUCCACUUACCUCCACACGUGCUCACACAAUGCAUGAGUUGGCUCUUCCCCACAUUAGCCUCUCUAAUUAUCCAUCAUCCCUUCUUGUGCCUUUCAACUUAGAAAGCAUCCUCGUUUGGGCCCCCUUUCUCAUGUCUGGCUGGCCUUCUGACAGAAACCCUGCACCCACCCAGUGUCCCCCUACCUCUGCCCUUGGAGGCCCAAAGAAUGCCGUAAGUACAGUUCUGCUCACCUGCUUCACGCCUUCCUCAGCAGUGCUCCAUUCUGCAAGGUGAACUCCAUGGUCUCUGUAGCCAUGUUGAGCCCCCCUCAUGCAUAAUUGGAGUCCAACUCAGUGGUACAGACCAGAGGACACCGAGACUGGGCAGAGGACUCCUGUUCCAGCCAGCCAGGCGUGGCAGCAGCUGACCACUCGCGGUCCUCACAACUCACCCACUGCUCAUUUGGAGACACCACGCGGGUUUGAAGCUUUGUCUUCCCACGCUGGCCUGGUGGGCGUCUUUCCCAAUCCAGCAGGACUGUUUGAGCUGUGUGAGGGCUGCAGCUCCAGUCUGAGGCUUAGGUAUCUGCUAUUUUAUUACCUUAGGAAGACACAUUAGUUCAUGCGCACAUACUAAAGAAAAGCUACCGUGUGAAUUCCAUCCCAGUAAACAGAAACCUAGGUGAAUCCUGAAAAAAUAGUCCCUACACAGAUAGGUAGGCAGGUGUAAACUUUCACAUCAUUCAGCUCCGGCUCUUGCAUUCUAAGCACUCUUGCUUUGGUUCUGACUUCUGAGAACUGCUUUGCACUUUGCCUGUACCUUUGUUGUUAAAGGAACCAAGGGCUCAUUGUGGGGCAGAAGUACUGCUUUUAUUCAAAGUGGCAAUAUUUUUUGCAUAGCUCUCUGUUAAAGCAAAAACAAAAAUUUGCACUGAAGAUAUUGCGGGAGGGGAGAAGGUUGGAGGGCAGCAGCUGGGGAAGGAAGAGACCCUGGUGUCCUGCUGGAGCCCUGGGUGUUUACAGGGCUCCUCCUGCGACCUGUGCUGGGAAGGGGAGGAGCACUGCUGCUGUCUUCAGGAACGCACCUGACCAUGUUAGCACCGCACGCAUCUCCUUACAGCGCCUCAGUAGAAACGCAGGUGUGCACAAAUUAACCUUUUAUAUAUUUAAAGAUUUUUCUACUGUGUAUAGGAUUGCUCAGAAAAAAGUGUGGAUUAGACUUUGUUUUGGUAAAUAAACUCCCUAAACUGUGGAUUAAUAAUAUAAAAAUAUGUAACAAUAUAUCUAUAUCUAUAACCUUCAGAAAUAAAAGUCGAUUCCAUAUGUUCA